CCAGCACCGCCAGAGGCGCUAGUGUAUUUUACUCAUAUUAUGGUAAAUUUAUUUGAAAGUGUUUGCUGUGAGUUUUGACAGAUUCCUGACACUGUCUGUCAGAAGAGUGAUUGAAGAAAAUUAAAUAAAAAAUGACAGUGCCGGAAAUUGAUUACAGAAUUAUUGAUUUUUCUUUAUGAUCUACGCAGCAUCAAUCGUUCCCAUGUGAUAUAAUCUCGGAUAUAAUGUAGCUGAUCUACCGGCCUUAGGAAUGCUCAAACAAAUCCUACAGUGAUUCCUUAGCGAAACCCAUAGAGAUCCUCCAACGAUUCCCACAGGAAUUCCCAACCAAUGCCCAUAGAUACGGACAAACGAUACCUAAAGGAAUUCCCAAGAAAUGCCCACAAAAAUCUCCGAGCCGCAGUGAUCUCCAAGCGAAGCAAACCGGAAUCCCAAGCAAUGCCCACAGGAAUCCUCAAGCAAGGCGUACCGUGAUUCGCAAGCUAUGUACACAGUGAUCCACCAGCAUUUUCAAGAUGGGAAAAAUUGGCUUGAAGUUUAUUUCCGAAUUGAUGCUUUAUCACAUGGGACUGGCAGAGCGAUUCCUACAUGAAUUCCCAAGCGAUGCGAACCAAAAUCCCCAAGCAAUGUCAACAGGAGUUCCCAAGCAAUGCCGAUAGGAAUGCUCAAACAUUUCCGAGUGAUGCUCACAGUGAUCCAGCAGCGAUUCCCACAUGAAUCCACAAGUGAUGUCAACAGUGAUCUACCAGUGAUUUCUACAGGAGUUCUCAACCGAUGCCCACAGGAGUCCAAUAAGCCCUGCGAGCAAAGGCGAAGGUGAAACAUUCACGACUCUCUGGCAUAGUGUUUCCAUUGCACUUGCCAUACAAUAUACAGAAUCAUGCAAUGGCGGGCAUAGAAAA